UCAACCUAGUACGAGAGGAACCGU
rnacentral:snRNA from 1 species